CUCCAUUUCUUUUAUUUAUUUAUAAACUGCCAACAAUAGUUAUGUAACAAAUAACAAUUAUUUUCAUAACAGCAACAUAAAUCAUUGAUUAUAACAGAAAUCUGAAUUUUUAAGUUGUCAUGAUAACUAUGUUUAUUGAGCAGUUUAAACAAAACUGAAUUUAAUAUUGCUAUAAACAAUUCUGAGUCAAUUCACAAAACAGUAAUUUAACACCCAUUGCUUCCACUCUGAUCAUUAAUAAAAUCAUACAGCACUCACAAUAAUACAUAUAAUACUAUCUAUGUCAAACUGCCCAAGUAUUACCAAGACACUUAUUAUAUUCUCUUGCAUCCAUUUGUAAAAUAUCAACAUCAAUAUUUUAAUGGAAAUUAGACAUGAUAAUAAUUUCCUAACAUGUUUUAGCAAUAAGACACUUCUUUGAAACAGUUUUACUCAAUGUAUUAAGUUUUAUAAAAAUUGAUAAUAUAAGAAACAACCAUGUUCACAUUUCUUUUUAUGACAAAAUGGUUUUUCACAAUAAAUGAAUUAAAUAUGAAAACUUUAAACAGCUUAUUAUGAUAUACCUGGCCUUCUAAAAACUGAGCAAGAAAUAAAUGAUAUUAUACAGAAAAAUAUGAGAUCUUUUUGUCCAAGACAAACUCUUCUAUAAUAAA
rnacentral:lncRNA from 1 species